UGUGACUAGAUUAAUGUUAAGGAAUAAAUGAUAAAAAUGACUUUUUAGCCACUUGAUGAUUUAUCUGUAAGUGAUAACCGGGACAACAGUGCAACCAUGAGGGCUAUAAUGGCUCUGGCUUUAGCUCAGUAUGAAGACCUUUUCUAGCUUGUUAGAGGUUACCCGAAAGGGCGCUAGAGGGGCUGAACCGACACGGGUAUAGUGCG
rnacentral:lncRNA from 1 species